CUCUCUCUCUGCGAUGAGGACGGAGCAAUGGCGGCGGAAGGGGGGGAGCGGACACGGCCGAAGCAAUCCGUUGCCAUCCGCCGUCUCUCGGUGCCCUGAAGUGAGCUGGAACAUCGCCAUCCUCUCCUCCCGAUGAUCACUGAAUGGAUGGCACAAAACAUUCCAACAAGGAUUAAAAGCAUGUAAUGACACUAAGCUGUGACUCCUGAUGUUGAGCUCUUUGCCCUAGAAUUUGCUGGUGAAGUGAGCUGGGAUGCUCGCAAUGAGUGUAACAUGUUCGGCAUCAAGCCUUGAUUGCAAUUGGCCACAUUGCUGAUUCAUUUCUCAAUGCUUUGGUGAUACCAACCUGGAAGACAUCGUCUAGUAAAGUUGUUGUGACAUUUGGUGUAAACUAAUAAUAAAAGGAUUGAUCUUUCUUAAAA